UAGUACUUCAUUUGAAAAAUCAAAAUUUUAUAUCAAAAAAUAAUUUUUAAAUUCUUACCUUUGGUGAGGGAAAAAAAGACCUUUCUUGAGCUGAGAAUAUAUUCAUUCUAAUUUUUAUUUUGGAUUUUCGCUGCUUAUAUACUAUUUUAGGAAUCUUAUCUUAUAUGUGUAUGUUGGUAUGUAUUGCAGCAUAUUAUUUAUCCUGCAUGAUAUGGGAUUGUUCAAUUCAAUACAUACAUACAUAUGUGUUCUUAAUGUUAUCUGAUCUGAGUUUCUAAAGUGUAAAUGUAUGACUUGUAAUUAUCCAUUUAGUUUACUCCUACAUGCAUUUUUAUUAUUAUUGUGUGCGCAUUGCAUGUAAACGCAUAUGUCUGUUUAGGUACAUAUGUAUGUAUGGAUACAUGUACCCUGCCAACCACGGCUACCCGCUUGAGACAAAUAUUCCAAUACAACUACACAUUUUUUCUCUAUGCACUAACAUUUUUAUUUAAUUUUUUGUUUACCUAAAUGCGAUGAAUGAUGAUCUUUCAUCUCUUGAUUUAUUUGAAUGAGUGCGAAGGAGAAAACAUUAUUGUCAAUAGUGACAAUAGAAAAUCCCAAAAAGGGUAAUAAAAAAACGAUUGAAAGCCGCAUGUCGUUCGUGAUCGUACCAUCGUAAAGGAGGCUCGUGCGACAAGAAGCAUUGGAAAUUGGAAGUAGCAGCAGCAGCUAUAUCAUCAGAAGCGGCAAAUAUCAAUUGUUAAAUAUUAUUAUGAUUUUUAUUUAAUUAUUCUUUCUUUUCAGAUUUUAUCACUAUUUUUAUUUAAUUAAUCUUUGCUUUCAGAGUAAAUCCUAUUUGAA